rnacentral:rRNA from 1 species
GACGAACGCUGGCGGCGUGCUUAACACAUGCAAGUCGAACGGAAAGGCCCUGCUUUUGUGGGGUGCUCGAGUGGCGAACGGGUGAGUAACACGUGAGUAACCUGCCCUUGACUUUGGGAUAACUUCAGGAAACUGGGGCUAAUACCGGAUAGGACCUCCUGCGGCAUGGGGGGGGUUGGAAAGUUUCGGCGGUUGGGGAUGGACUCGCGGCUUAUCAGCUUGUUGGUGGGGUAGUGGCUUACCAAGGCUUUGACGGGUAGCCGGCCUGAGAGGGUGACCGGCCACAUUGGGACUGAGAUACGGCCCAGACUCCUACGGGAGGCAGCAGUGGGGAAUAUUGCACAAUGGGCGGAAGCCUGAUGCAGCAACGCCGCGUGCGGGAUGACGGCCUUCGGGUUGUAAACCGCUUUCGCCUGUGACGAAGCGUGAGUGACGGUAAUGGGUAAAGAAGCACCGGCUAACUACGUG